rnacentral:misc_RNA from 1 species
CGAAAUGCGAUAAUUAAUGUGAAUUGCAGAAUUCAGUGAAUCAUCGAGUCUUUGAACGCACAUUGCGCCCCCUGGUAUUCCGGGGGGCAUGCCUGUCCGAGCGUCAUUGCUGCCCUCAAGCACGGCUUGUGUGUUGGGCUUCCGUCCCUGGCAACGGGGACGGGCCCAAAAGGCAGUGGCGGCACCAUGUCUGGUCCUCGAGCGUAUGGGGCUUUGUCACCCGCCCCCGUAGGUCCAGCUGGCAGCUAGCCUCGCAACCAAUCUUUUUAACCAGGUUGACCUCGGAUCAGGUAGGGAUACCCGCUGAACUUAAGC